GCCACAUAGACAAAAAAAAAAAAAAAAAGUAAAAUAAAACAUUUAAAAAAAAACAAGAAAUAAAACAAAAAUGAAAGGAGGGAAAGAAGGAAGGAAGGAAAGAAGGGAAAAGAUAACUAAAUAUUUGAAAAUAAGAACACGGUAAUGUUCCCAAAGCCCCUGGUUUUGGGAAUCACAGGCGGUUUAAACUUUAUUCUUUUGGCUUUUUUUUCAUUUUCUAAAAUGUCUACAAUUGCCAUACGUCACUUUGGCGGGGAAAGGGUAAGACAAUAAAUAUUACUGUUAAAGAAAAGAGGUUGGGUAAAGAGAGCACCAUGACCAUUUUUCUCAGCAAAAAGAACACGGUGAGUCUCUAACAUUAGCCCCAAUGACACAGGUUCUUAAAAAUCCUGCCUCAUUUGAAGCAUCAGGUAAUUAUUGCAAAAGCCUUCGUGUGGGAGGGGGUGAGUGAUGGCUCACAUUUUCUGGAUAAUUGCCCUCAUUGUCCAGUUCACACUGCCUAUAGAAUCAUAUCUGCAUUUCCAGACCACACAGAAGUGAAGUUUGGAGUGAGAACUCACUCGUCAUCAAUCCAUCCACAGACAUUUAAUGAGCUCCUACUACGUGCAAGGUUCUUGCUGUGCCUCGUCGCUCACUCUUGGGGAACUUUCUCCAGAAGGAGGGGCGAUUCCUCACCUUUCAGGGCAGGACCAACACUUGAUCAGCAUCUUGUCUUGAGAACUUUCAUUAGAGUCCUGGCCUUUCCAUCAUCCAUUCAGCUAUCCAUGCUGGGCCCUCAGGGGGCCCAGGGGAUGGUGAUCAGGGCAGACGCGAGGCAGACCCACCAUCAAGGUAGCCCAGCCGCAGCCUGGAGCCCUUGUUUGCCUUCCACCAGCUGAGAUGAGAUUCAGACUCUGAUUCAAGGAGGGUUUGCGGAAUACCUCCUUUGUGUCAGAUGCUUAGAGGAUCGUUGGUACAUUGAUGAGCGUGGUAGAACCUCAGCACAUCUGAGAGGUGAAUUCAUUCUGAAGAAGUGGAGGCUGAAACACUAAACGCUUUGCCCAAAGUCACUCAGCGGACCAGUAGAAGGACCCAGAUCCAGGACUCGGAAAGUCUUUGACACCCGCGGUGGUGGCGGGGUAGGGAGAGGGGAGCUACUGACUGAAAAGGUUAACAAAGCUUUUUGGAUGCUGCUAGAUUGGCACCCGGGAAUCAAAAGUUCUCCCUUGGCCGCGUACCG
rnacentral:lncRNA from 1 species